GGACCAUUAGCUCAGCUGGUUAGAGCGCAUGCUUGAUAAGCAUGAGGUCGUUGGUUCAAGUCCAACAUGGUCCA
rnacentral:tRNA from 6 species